UACGAAGGGGGCUAGCGUUGUUCGGAAUUACUGGGCGUAAAGGGCGCGUAGGCGGUCCUUCAAGUCAGGCGUGAAAGCCCCGGGCUCAACCUGGGAACCGCGCUUGAGACUGGCGGGCUAGAGUUCGGGAGAGGAUGGUGGAAUUCCCAGUGUAGAGGUGAAAUUCGUAGAUAUUAGGAAGAACACCGGUGGCGAAGGCGGCCCACUGGAUCGUGACUGACGCUGAGGUGCGAAAGCGUGGGGAGCAAACAGG
rnacentral:rRNA from 1 species